CGCGGCCUAUCAGCUUGUUGGUGGGGUAAAGGCCUACCAAGGCGUCGACGGGUAGCUGGUCUGAGAGGAUGAUCAGCCACACUGGGACUGAGACACGGCCCAGACUCCUACGGGAGGCAGCAGUGGGGAAUCUUGCGCAAUGGGCGAAAGCCUGACGCAGCAACGCCGCGUGCGGGAAGAAGGCCUUCGGGUUGUAAACCGCUUUCAGCAGGAACGAAAAUGACGGUACCUGCAGAAGAAGGUGCGGCCAACUACGUGCCAGCAGCCGCGGUGACACGUAGGCACCAAGCGUUGUCCGGAUUUAUUGGGCGUAAAGAGCUCGUAGGCGGUUCAGUAAGUCGGGUGUGAAAACUCUGGGCUUAACCCAGAGCCGCCACCCGAUACUGCUGUGACUAGAGUCCGGUAGGGGAGUGGGGAAUUCCUAGUGUAGCGGUGAAAUGCGCAGAUAUUAGGAGGAACACCGGUGGCGAAGGCGCCACUCUGGGCCGGAACUGACGCUGAGGAGCGAAAGCGUGGGUAGCAAACAGGAUUAGAUACCCUGGUAGUCCACGCCGUAAACGUUGGGCACUAGGUGUGGGCCUCAACCAACGAGGUCCGUGCCGUCGCUAACGCAUUAAGUGCCCCGCCUGGGGAGUACGG
rnacentral:rRNA from 1 species